GUGGGGAAUAUUGGACAAUGGGGGGAACCCUGAUCCAGCCAUGCCGCGUGUGUGAAGAAGGCCUUUUGGUUGUAAAGCACUUUAAGCGAGGAGGAGGCUACCGAGAUUAAUACUCUUGGAUAGUGGACGUUACUCGCAGAAUAAGCACCGGCUAACUCUGUGCCAGCAGCCGCGGUAAUACAGAGGGUGCAAGCGUUAAUCGGAUUUACUGGGCGUAAAGCGCGCGUAGGUGGCCAAUUAAGUCAAAUGUGAAAUCCCCGAGCUUAACUUGGGAAUUGCAUUCGAUACUGGUGGGCUAGAGUAUGGGAGAGGAUGGUAGAAUUCCAGGUGUAGCGGUGAAAUGCGUAGAGAUCUGGAGGAAUACCGAUGGCGAAGGCAGCCAUCUGGCCUAAUACUGACACUGAGGUGCGAAAGCAUGGGGAGCAAACAGGAUUAGAAACCCUGGUAGUCC
rnacentral:rRNA from 1 species